rnacentral:rRNA from 1 species
GUCUGUUUGAAGAUAUAAAAAGUCUGACCUGCCCGCUGAUAAAUAAUUUUAAGGGCCGCAGUAUUUUGACUGUGCAAAGGUAGCAUAAUCGUUAGUUUUUUAAUUGAAAUCUUGUAUGAAUGGUUUGACAAAAAAAAAUCUGUCUUUAUAAUUAUUUAUUGAAUUUAACUUUUAAGUGAAAAGGCUUAAAUGAUUUAAAAAGACGAUAAGACCCUAUAAAGCUUAAUAUUUAAUUUUUUAUUUUAAUAAAAUUUUUUAUAAUAUAAAUAUUUAGUAAUUAAUUUUAUUUUAUUGGGGUGAUAAUGGUAAAAUGAUUAUUAACUGUUAAUUAUGUUUAAAACAAAUAUAAAUGAAUAAAAUAAAUAUAUUAAUAUAAAUGAUCCUAUAUAAAGAUUAAAAGUUUAAGUUACUUUAGGGAUAACAGCGUUAUUUUUUUUGAGAGUUCUUAUCGAAAAAAAAGUUUGCGACCUCGAUGUUGAAUUAAAAUAUCUAUAUAAUUGUAGCAGUUAUAUAAGAAGGUCUGUUCGACCUUUAAAUUUUUACAUGAUUUGAGUUCAAACCGGUGUAAG